GUCUUCAAGGGUGAUAGGAUUGUAAUAAGAGGGAGUGGUUGAGGAGUCAUCUUUAUCAGAUGGUGGGAUCUGUUGCAUCUCGGGAGGCCGAGGUGCUUGCUUCAGCCUUGGAGGAUCAGUCGGAGGUUCAAUCGAUGCAAAUUAGACAGCUAAUGGUGUAUUUGUCGGAUUUGCCUGUUGUGGGGUCGUCGAAUCAUAGGGAGGUG
rnacentral:lncRNA from 1 species